rnacentral:rRNA from 1 species
UACGUAGGGGGCAAGCGUUGUCCGGAUUUAUUGGGCGUAAAGAGCGUGUAGGCGGUUUGGUAGGUCCGCUGUGAAAACUCGAGGCUCAACCUCGAGACGUCGGUUGAAACCGUACGGCUAGAGUCCGGAAGAGGAGAGUGGAAUUCCCGGUGUAGCGGUGAAAUGCGCAGAUAUCAGGAAGAACACCCGUGGCUAAGGCGGCUCUCUAGUACGGUACUGACGCUGAGACGCGAAAGCGUGGGGAGCGAACAGG